rnacentral:rRNA from 1 species
UAGUCCACGCCCUAAACGAUGAAUGUUAGUCGUCGGGUAGCUAGUCUAUUCGGUGAUGCAGCUAACGCAUUAAACAUUCCGCCUGGGGAGUACGGUCGCAAGAUUAAAACUCAAAGGAAUAGACGGGGACCCGCACAAGUGGUGGAGCAUGUGGUUUAAUUCGAAGAUACGCGAAGAACCUUACCUAGCCUUGACAUAUUUUAGAACACUUUAGAGAUAGAGUGGUGCCUUCGGGAGCUAAUAUACAGGUGGUGCAUGGCUGUCGUCAGCUCGUGUCGCGAGAUGUUGGGUUAAGUCCCGCAACGAGCGCAACCCUCGUUCUUAGUUGCCAUCAUUAAGUUGGGCACUUUAGGAAGACUGCCGGUGACAAACCGGAGGAAGGUGGGGAUGACGUCAAGUCAGCAUGCCCCUUAGUUCUGGGGCUACACACGUACUACAAUGGGUUGGGGACAAAGGGGCAGCAAGCUCGCAAGAGUUAGCGAAUCUCAUCAAACCCAGCCUCAGUUCAG